rnacentral:rRNA from 1 species
UACCAGCACCCCGAGUGGUCGGGACGAUUAUUGGGCCUAAAGCAUCCGUAGCCGGUUUUACAAGUCCCCCGUUAAAUCCAGCUGCUCAACAGAUGGGCCGCGGAGGAUACUACAGAGCUAGGAGGCAGGAGAGGCAAGCGGUACUCAGUGGGUAGGGGUAAAAUCCGUUGAUCCAUUGAAGACCACCAGUGGCGAAGGCGGCUUGCCAGAAUGCGCUCGACGGUGAGGGAUGAAAGCUGGGGGAGCAAACCGG